rnacentral:rRNA from 1 species
AACGCGAAGAACCUUACCUGGGCUCGAAAUGUUAUGGACAGUCUGUGAAAGCAGAUCUUCCCGCAAGGGACCGUAGUAUAGGUGCUGCAUGGCUGUCGUCAGCUCGUGUCGUGAGAUGUUGGGUUAAGUCCCGCAACGAGCGCAACCCUUGUCCUGUGUUGCCACUCCCGUAAGGGAAGCACUCUCAGGAGACCGCCAGCGAUAAGUUGGAGGAAGGUGGGGAUGAUGUCAAGUCAUCAUGGCCUUUAUGUCCAGGGCUACACACGUGCUACAAUGGACGGUACAAAGCGCUGCAAACCCGCGAGGGGGAGCCAAUCGCAAAAAACCGUUCUCAGUUCGGAUCGCAGGCUGCAACUCGCCUGCGUGAAGCUGGAAUCGCUAGUAAUGGUGUAUCAGAACGAUACCGUGAAUACGUUCCCGGGCCUUGUA